rnacentral:miRNA from 1 species
AGAUUCGAUUAUAGUGGAAU